rnacentral:rRNA from 1 species
GACAGAGGGUGCAAACGUUGUUCGGAUUUACUGGGCGUAAAGCGCGUGUAGGCGGCUUGGCAAGUCGGAUGGGAAAGCCCACGGCUCAACCGUGGAAGCGCAUCCGAAACGGCCUCGCUCGAGUCUCGGAGAGGAAGGUGGAAUGCUUGGUGUAGAGGUGAAAUUCGUAGAUAUCAAGCAGAACACCUGCGGCGAAGGCGGCCUUCUGGACGAUGACUGACGCUGAGACGCGAAAGCGUGGGGAGCAAACAGG